CUGUGCCGGGGACUGGCAGAUUCUCAAAGAACAUCGAAGAACUUCAGCAGGCACCUCCUCAAGCACUGGUCUCUGAGUGAGUCUUCACUACCGGGGAUGAGACUGGAGUGUCCAAGAUUUGAAGACAACAGCUGGCAAGCAGAGUGUACCAGACUGCCAGGACUGGGUGGGAUCUAAACUGAUAAAGAUUUUCCUAUUACGUGGAGAGACUUCACAUUCAAGACAACCCUUUCCCUAUUCGCAG